rnacentral:rRNA from 1 species
AAAUUACCCAGUCCUGACACAGGGAGGUAGUGACAAGAAAUAACAAUACAGGGCAAUUGUCUUGUAAUUGGAAUGAUGGUGACCUAAACCCUCACCAGAGUAACAAUUGGAGGGCAAGUCUGGUGCCAGCAGCCGCGGUAAUUCCAGCUCCAAUAGCGUAUAUUAAACUUGUUGCAGUUAAAAAGCUCGUAGUUGAAUUUCUGCGUUAUCGAGUUAUUGACUCUUGUCUUUAAUCGAUUUCGCUUUUGGGAUUUAUCCCUUUUUACUUUGAGAAAAUUAGAGUGUUUCAAGCAGACUUUUGUCUUAAAAAAC